UCUUCCUCUAGCCCCAAGCGUUCCAGCCCUCCAGGUCACAGAGGAGAGAGCUUCUCCUAGCCUUGGGCGGGACCAGGGACAGACAGCUCUGCAGGGAAAAUGAUCCCGGAAUGGUGCUCCAGGGCUGGAGGUCUUAAAACCACUUCCUUGCCAAGUACAGAAAAGGAAAGGGACCUAACUUCAUACCACACUCACAGCUACAGGGCGGGCCAAGGUCCCCGAUGCCACCUGUGGAUUUCCCCCUGCAGUCACAGAAAAACUGUUGCAAGAAGGGAAGCAUUGCUAACGGGCACUUCUGUCGGAGUAUCAGCUGGGAGUGCCGAGAAGGAAGCAGACCCAGGAGCUGAUCAGGUCUCAUGCUAAGCCAAGCUGAUGGGAAACUCACUCUGUAGCCCCCAGACUUACAAUAAUCUUCCUACCUCAGCCUUCCUUCCAAGGCUUGGAUUACAGGACAGCUUCCCAUUCUGGAGAUCCUGCUGGGCACACACCACCCUUGGUUCUCAGAGUUGCUGGCAGUCUUGAGGUCUGCACGUGUCUCUCUCACUGUGCCCUUUGACCUGAUUGUGGACUUCCUGUUUCUGGGAAGGUAAUGCAGUGGGGAGAUGGGGAGGUGGGGCAGGGCAAGGACGGGCCCUUCCCUCUCCUCUGUGGGCGUCCACAGCUUCUGGGAGAGCCUUCAGCCUGUGUUCUCCUGGGUGUAGCUCCUCUCCUUCUUCAUCAUGAACUCCUCCCAUCUCCAAGGGCCUGGAGUGGAAGUCAACUCAGAAGUGAACUCAGCUGAGGGUCUCACUCCUAGGCGCUAGUCUCCAGCCUAUGGGACGGACCACUGGGAGCUCGGUGUGAUGGCACUCCUGUGAUCCCAGCACUUUGGAGGCUGAAGCAUGGAGCAUUAUAAAUUGAAGGCCAGCUUUGGCUACAUAGACAUGUUGGAAAACCAAACAAAACCAGGUCCCUCAGCUAGCAGCUCUGCCUCUUGGCCAGAGCCUUGGGUGAGCUUCCACAGUUCAGCCUGUAGUGGAGAGGACGGUCCACGAAGUCUCAGGCCUUGGCCACACAGAGACAUACCUGGGUCUUUCCUUGAAUCUGGAGUUCGCUGAUGAAGCUAGAUGCUCCCAACAUCCCCGUCUCCACUUCCCCAGCCCCAGGAUCACAGGAGCCAUGAUGGUGACGCUCAGAGCCAAGACACUGGUGGAAGAUGGUCGUCCGUCCACUAAAACGCCUACUCGGUGCGGAGCUCCCCAUGUGAUGGCCAGCGAGACUUUGCCCAGCUGUGGGUCAUCUUACGGACUUGGGGGUCUGCCUCCUGAGAGCCAUGGGAGGCUACUGCAGGGACUUAGGUCAGGCAGGGUGUGACGGAGGGAGGUGGUGGACAAGGCUGCUGUGUGGAAAAUGGAGCUGAGUGAGCCAGGGUGCUGUGGAGACAGCGGCUACCGCAUUAGAGAGGUCCCAGUGGUGAUGGUGCCAGGGCGCGUGCUUAUAGAAGCCAAUGCAUAUAUCUGAGUGUGGUAGCACACUCUUGUAAUCCCAGUAUUCUGGAGGCAGAAGCAGGUGGGUUACUGCAAACUCAAGCCCAGCCUGGGCUACAUAGCAAGACACAAACAAAACAAAAACAAACAAAAAAAACCCAAAACACCAGCUGGGCAAACUGGUUCAUGCCUAUAAAUCCCAGCACGUGGGAGGCUGAGGCAGGAGGAUUGCAACAAGUUCAAGAUCAGCUUGGGCAUUAGAGUGAGACUCUGUCUCAAAAACAAAAACAAAAACAAAUGAACAAACAAAACCAUUUCCUCUCCCAGGCAGCAACACAUGAAACAGUUCCGCAUCGCAGCUCAUUCAUGUAAUUUUAUCACUUGGGAGACUGAACCAGGAGGAUUGCUGCAGGUUCAAGGCUGGCCCUGGCUCCAGUGUGACACUCCAUGUCAGAAAACUUAAAUAGGCAAAGAAGACCAACUGACCCACUAACCAAGAACCCAAUGGCACGUAUUUAUUGGUGGGAGACAGGCCAUGUAGCCUCUCCUCAUUCUCCACAGCCACCUGAAGUCGUCCCUUGCUGGAUCCUAGACCCUCUUCCCUUCCAGAGGACCUGUCCCCAGGAUGAGCUUGUCUUGAAGCUUCAUUCAAAUGGGCCACACCACCACUAGGCUGUGAACACAGCCACAUUCACCAUGCCUGCAGCCGAGUUCUUGGCAGACCCCCAUGCCAGCCCCAAAAGGCUUUUACACCUAGUGUAUGUAUGCGGGGGAUGAUAGGGUCCCAAUUUACAGUCCCUCUUGCUUUCUGAUCCAAGGCACAAUCAGAGGCAAUCCAUCUCCAGGGAACUGACUCAUGAUAAACUUCUAGAAGCCCAAAUAAGAAAGCAUAAUGGUAAAGUAGUCUAUAAAGGUCUCAUAGAGUUGCAGGACACAGUCCCAAUUAUGGUAAUUUUAUGGCACGCACACACAGAGAUCAGAACAGUGCUGGUGUCGAGCACACUGGCUAUGGCCACACUGAAUGUAGAGGACGUGCAGGAUUUAGGUUGGCCGUGCAUGUGUGUCUGGUGUGUGGAUUAUCUUCUCAGAAUUAGAGAUGGCUCAUCCAUCCUCGUGCAAUAUUUCCAGGAAGUCCCUGGGGGAGGCCUCAUGAAGUCUUCUGCCUCCCACUAUAAAGUGCCUCUCUGGCACCUGGGAAGUCUCUGCUCUCCAGAGCGUUGGGGUGUUCGUAGCUGUCCCCAGGAUCCGCUGGGUGACAGCAAACAUCUUGUCUCCGUUCUCUUCUUCCUGACACUGAUUGCCUUUGAACUCUCACAGUCUUUCUCCAAACAGAGUUAUGCCUUCUCAGACUGCUCUCUCCUUCCUGUUUUUGAGACAGUGUCUCAGGCUGAACUCGUUAUGCAGCCCAGGCUGGUGUCAAACUUGUGGCAAUCCUCCUGCCUCAGCCUCCGGUGCUAGGAUUACAGAUAUGAGCCACCACACCUGUCCAAUUUCUCACUCUGUGCAUCAUCCAUUCUGCUGCUCAGCGGCUGCUCAUCGUGCAUCUUAGUUCCUGUGCCUGAACAUAUGGGCUUCCAAAUCCUUUCAGCUUCCUGUUCGUGGACAGUCCCUUGGGUCACUUCUCUACUCUGCUUGUGUGGUCACUACCCAGUCUGGUUCUCAGAAGGUCACCCUGGGAGGCUCCUCUGGCCACAAAUGCUGGCAAACCCAUUCUGUGUGGCUAGGUUUACUGCUAGCCACCUUCCCUGGGCCUGAUGAUGAUGAAGAGGAGGGGGAGGGGAGGGCUCACAUUUGUGGACCUCACAGCUUGCAAACUACAUACUUCUAUUUGAUCUUUAGAGCAAUAUAAUAACUCUGUGAGCUACAGCGAUCCUGGCACACCAGAAACAGAAGUUUGGAAGUUCCGAGUAGUGGCUGGCAUGAUAGCAGCACAUAUCUGUGAUAUAGCAGGUUCAGAACUACAUGAAACACUCGGGGCCCAGCCCCCUAUUUACAGUACCCCUCUGCUUUCUUGUACAAUGUGUGGUCAAAAUGAACUGUUAUGUCCAGGGGCUGCUGAUGGCAGUGAUCCCAUCAGCACACCACACUGGUGUGGCCAAAGCCACCAUGACACCACAUUGGUUGUCUUAAAAUAAGACAAACUCAGUUCAUGAAUGGCUGGUCCGUGGUGUGUUCAUAUCCAACAACAGAGACAGAGUAAAAGUGUUUGUAGGGUGAGAAGAGGGAGAGAAAUGGGAGCCUUCCAAACUAGAACAGAACCCUCCCUCCCAUCACCCCUGGAGGCGGGACUUGGAUGCUGAAGUUGGUAAUUAGUCCUAUGACUUGGGCCAGUCACAUCAUUUCUAUGGCAGCCCUCCAUUUCCUCUGGGCCAAAAGGAAUAAUAAAGUUUUGGCUUCUGUAAUGGAAAAAUAGCUUGGAUCAAUUCCCCAACCUCAAUCAGCCAUGGAAGGCAGCAGUUUUAAAAUCUGGACGCGCACACAAAGUGGGUGGGUGCAGAUGUGUCUGCAUGGGUGUGUAGAUCAGAGGAUCGUCUUCAGUAUUGUUCCUCAGGUGCCAUCCACACUGUUCACCUGGUUUUUGCCCACCUCCAACCAUGGGGAAUUGAAACUAGGACCUCACAUGUGCUGGUCAAGCACUCUACCACCAAGUUACACCCCUCAGAAAUCCACCCUGCUUUUUGAAACAGGGCCUCUCACUGGCCCUAAAUGUGCUGAUUUGGUGAGGCCGGCAGGUCAGCAUCAGUCUGCCUCCAGC